GGUUUCUUGGCGCAGCUGGUUAGCGCGUCUCCUUAACAACUCCGAUCUUCUGAUCGUUAGGGCUUACGGAGGAGGUCGCCGGUUCGAACCCGGCAGAAAUCA
rnacentral:tRNA from 1 species